rnacentral:lncRNA from 12 species
AUGUCAUGGAUCACCUCUGGGCGUUUUCCCAAACCCUUUCUGGAAUUUAUUUUCAGUGCUGCAAGAAAAACAAUGAUAAAGACACACGCUGAGAAAGUCUUUGUGAUAACUUCAGUAAGCACAUAUAGUGGAGCAGAUGGUGGUCCUUAUUGGGAGCGUCAUCAGAAGUGUGUGACCGUGCACAUGCACAGCUUAGAGGGAACAUUGGCUGGCAGCUUUAGAGGGGACCUGAGGUCAGAGGUCACCUGUGACUCAAGGCUUGAGGAAUUCGGUCUCAAGGAAAUGAAUAGCAUGGAGAAAAAUAAGAGACAGAAAUUGUAACGGCUACAGGAAAUGAUAGCUCAUUAGAAUGUUGUCAGAUGGUGACUGAGAAUUAUUAACUGUUUUAUAGAGGGACAAGAAGGAAAGGGAAGCUGGAACCUGUUUACCUCCAAAAAAAAAUCCCCAUGUUGUUCACUGGGGAACACAGAGCCAUGAAUGUUUUCACCUUCCUGCAUGCUGAUCCCAUGGUUCUUCUUGCAUGAUGUUGCUUCUGGGUAAGGUUUAGUCACCUCUCCAAAGAUUACAGUUUGUAAAACACAAGUGUUGACAGGUAAUUCAGUUAAUGGUGUUACAAGGCCUCAUUCUGGUCUUUGC